UUGUUCCUACUUAUAGUUACCUAAUUUCAGGAUGCUAAGGUAACAAUGCUUGGACUGGUACCCAGCAUCGUUCGUACUUGGAAGAAUACGGACUGUACAGCUGGACUAGACUGGUCCUCCAUCCGAUGCAGUUGAAGACCCAAGAUUUGAACGACGCUAUUGUCACACCGAAAGUGUGUUCGAUGAAAUGCCUCCAAAAUCCGGAGGUUUCUAUUUGUGAAAGUUUGCAGGCUAAGGAGUGUUCCUACUUCCUCCUGUAUACACAGUUUAUUCCUGCAUUUUUUGGGGUGAUUAAUUCCUUUUUCAAGGAACGUGGAUGCGGGCGAUAAAUUGAAGCUGUGUGU